rnacentral:tRNA from 1 species
UGUCCAGGGAUGGGGAUCGAACCCACAGUGUUCCGCUUACUGGUUAGAUGCCAUAUCCACUAGGCUACCCUGGGC